AGAGUUUGAUCCUGGCUCAGGACGAACGCUGGCGGCGUGCUUAACACAUGCAAGUCGAGCGAGGUUCGCUUCAGUGGCAACACUGUCGUGAUACCUAGCGGCGAACGGGUGAGCAACACGUGAGGAACCUGCCCCAGACUUUGGGAUAACCCUGGGAAACCGGGGCUAAUACCGCAUAAGCCCGAGAGGGGAAAGCAGCAAUGCGCUGAAAGAGGAGCCCGCGGCCGAUUAGCUAGUUGGCAGGGUAAGAGCCUACCAAGGCAGAGAUCGGUAGCCGGCCUGAGAGGGCACACGGCCACACUGGCACUGAAACACGGGCCAGACUCCUACGGGAGGCAGCAGUGGGGAAUCUUGCACAAUGGGGGCAACCCUGAUGCAGCGACGCCGCGUGAGCGAUGAAGCCCUUCGGGGUGUAAAGCUCUUUCGGCAGGGAAGAUGAUGACGGUACCUGCAGAAGCAGCUGCGGCUAACUACGUGCCAGCAGCCGCGGUAAUACGUAGGCAGCGAGCGUUGUUCGGAGUUACUGGGCGUAAAGGGUGUGUAGGCGGUUCUUUAAGUUUGGUGUGAAAUCUCCCGGCUCAACCGGGAGGGUGCGCCGAAUACUGAGGGACUAGAGUACGGGAGAGGAAAGUGGAAUUCCUGGUGUAGCGGUGAAAUGCGUAGAUAUCAGGAGGAACACCGGUGGUGUAGACGGCUUUCUGGACCGUAACUGACGCUGAGACACGAAAGCGUGGGUAGCAAACAGGAUUAGAUACCCUGGUAGUCCACGCCCUAAACGAUGCAUAUUUGGUGUGGGCAGUUCAUUCUGUCCGUGCCGGAGCUAACGCGUUAAAUAUGCCGCCUGGGGAGUACAGUCGCAAGGCUGAAACUCAAAGGAAUUGACGGGGGCCCGCACAAGCGGUGGAGCAUGUGGUUCAAUUCGACACUACGCGAAGAACCUUACCUGGGCUCGAACGGCUUCUCAACGCCGGUGGAAACACCGGUAUCCCGCACGGGAGUGGAGUCGAGGAGCUGCAUGGCUGUCGUCAGCUCGUGUCGUGAGAUGUUGGGUUAAUUCCCGCAACGAGCGCAACCCCUGUCCUGUGUUGCCAUCAUUCAGUUGGGAACUCGCAGGAGACCGCCAGCGAUAAGCUGGAGGAAGGUGGGGAUGACGUCAAGUCCUCAUGGCCUUUAUGUCCAGGGCUACACACGUGCUACAAUGGACGGUACAAACCGCAGCAAACCCGCGAGGGGGAGCCAAUCGGAAAAAACCGUUCUCAGUUCGGAUUGCAGGCUGCAACUCGCCUGCAUGAAGCUGGAAUCGCUAGUAAUGGCAGAUCAGCACGCUGCCGUGAAUACGUUCCCGGGCCUUGUACACACCGCCCGUCACAUCACGAAAGUGGAUUGUACUUGAAGUCUGCAGGCUCACCUUCGGGAGGGCGCUUACCACGGUGUGGUCAAUGACUGGGGUGAAGUCGUAACAAGGUA
rnacentral:rRNA from 1 species